rnacentral:rRNA from 1 species
GACGAACGCUGGCGGCGUGCUUAACACAUGCAAGUCGAACGAUGAAGCCGCUUCGGUGGUGGAUUAGUGGCGAACGGGUGAGUAACACGUGGGCAAUCUGCCCUGCACUCUGGGACAAGCCCUGGAAACGGGGUCUAAUACCGGAUACGACCAUCGGCCGCAUGGCCUGGUGGUGGAAAGCUCUGGUGGUGCAGGAUGAGCCCGCGGCCUAUCAGCUUGUUGGUGGGGUGAUGGCCUACCAAGGCGACGACGGGGAGCCGGCCUGAGAGGGCGACCGGCCACACUGGGACUGAGACACGGCCCAGACUCCUACGGGAGGCAGCAGUGGGGUAUAUUGCACAAUGGGCGCAAGCCUGAUGCAGCGACGCCGCGUGAGGGAUGACGGCCUUCGGGUUGUAAACCUCUUUCAGCAGGGAAGAAGCUUUCGGGUGACGGUACCUGCAGAAGAAGCACCGGCUAACUACGUGCCAGCAGCCGCCGCCG